rnacentral:rRNA from 1 species
UAGUCCACGCUGUAAACGAUGAUCACUCGCUGUUGGCAAUACAUCGUCAGCGGCCAAGCGAAAGCAUUAAGUGAUCCACCUGGGGAGUACGUUGGCAACAAUGAAACUCAAAGGAAUUGACGGGGGCCCGCACAAGCGGUGGAACAUGUGGUUUAAUUCGAUGAUACGCGAGGAACCUUACCUGGGCUUAAAUGUAGAAUGCAUUCCUGAGAAAUCAGGAUUUCCUUCGGGACCUUUUACAAGGUGCUGCAUGGUUGUCGUCAGCUCGUGCCGUGAGGUGUCGGGUUAAGUCCCAUAACGAGCGCAACCCUUAUCGUUAGUUGCUAGCAGGUAAUGCUGAGGACUCUAACGAAACUGCCGGUGUAAACCGUGAGGAAGGUGGGGAUGACGUCAAAUCAGCACGGGCCCUUAUGUCCAGGGGCUACACACGUGUUACAAUGGUCGGUACAGAGGGCAGCUACCUGGUAACAGGGAUGCGAAUC